AUUGAACUCUGGCGGCACGCCUAACCCAUGCAAGUCGAGCGCGCGGCGGACGGGUGAGUAAUGUAUGGGGCUCUGCCCGAUAGAGGGGGAUAACUACUGGAAACGGUGGCUAAUACCGCAUACUAUCGGCUGAACCCAUGUGGGAUUAGCUAGUAGGUGGGGUAAAGGCUCAACUAGGCGACGAUCUCUAGCUGGUCUGAGAGGAUGAUCAGCCACACUGGGACUGAGAAACGGCCCAGACUCCUACGGGAGGCAGCAUGGGGGAAUAUUGGACAAUGGGCGAAAGCCUGAUGCAGCCAUGCCGCGUGUAUGAAGAAGGCCUUAGGGUUGUAAAGGACUUUCAGCGGGGAGGCGUUACCCGCAGAAGAAGCACCGGCUAACUCCGUGCCAGCAGACGAGGUAAUAC
rnacentral:rRNA from 1 species